GGUACCCCUUCGUCUCCGUCACCGACGGUUGAACCCCCAGCCUCCCAGGGGAUGAUGCGCAGCUCUCGCGGGCUCAGUUUCUUCUCCAUCGCGUAUCGGGCGGAGAUGGGGGCGGCGGGGCGGCGUUGGUGUCGGGAAGCCGAGCGCGCGCGUCGCGCUCGCAUAGCCUCUGGGGUCUCGUUCAGGAUGACCGCAUAUGUAUAUGGAUGCAGGAUGACCCCGUAUGCGAAGCGACGUGGGAUUAUCGGAGGAAAAUUGGGAACCUAGAUGUUACUGGGCGAUGGACUAGCUGGGUCGUGGUCUGAUGCUGAACGUGUCAGUUUGGCUUCAGUAUAUGAUGAUGGAAACCUAGAUGCGUUUGUUGAAACCAGUCUGAAGUUUGUGCUUUUGAGCGGUGGUAUGCUUUGUAUUUUGAAUAAGCUUUGUCAAUGGGUGUGUCUCAGUGAUAGUGUACUUUGUGUAUUGAACAAGCUCAUC